rnacentral:tRNA from 1 species
GGAAAAAUAGUUUAAACUUACACAAAACAUAACACUGAAAAUGUUACAAUGACCUAGUCUUAUUCCAC